AUUGAACGCUGGCGGCAUGCCUUACACAUGCGAGUCGAACGGUAACGGGCCUUCGGGUGCCGACGAGUGGCGCACGGGUGAGUAAUACAUCGGAACGUGCCCGAUCGUGGGGGAUAACGAGGCGAAAGCUUUGCUAAUACCGCAUACGAUCUACGGAUGAAAGCAGGGGACCGCAAGGCCUUGCGCGGACGGAGCGGCCGAUGGCAGAUUAGGUAGUUGGUGGGAUAAAAGCUUACCAAGCCGACGAUCUGUAGCUGGUCUGAGAGGAUGAUCAGCCACACUGGGACUGAGACACGGCCCAGACUCCUACGGGAGGCAGCAGUGGGGAAUUUUGGACAAUGGGCGAAGCCUGAUCCAGCCAUGCCGCGUGCAGGAUGAAGGCCUUCGGGUUGUAAACUGCUUUUGUACGGAACGAAAAGCCUUCUUUUAAUACAGGAGGGUCAUGACGGUACCGUAAGAAUAAGCACCGGCUAACUACGUG
rnacentral:rRNA from 1 species